CUACUCACCACAGCUUCCUCUUUAGGGGCAUCAGACUGCCCCUGUUGGAGGCGGUCACCCCUAUGGCCAUCUGCAAGACAGUCAGACAACCAGCCUAUUUUUAACAGGAGUCAAUCAGCAACUUCCAGAUUAGGGGAAGCGUUCGGACAUCCCACUGUUAGCUCCAAGCCCUGCAUGGACCUGUUUGCUGGGCUAAGACCAAAAUUUCUAAGUCUGUGAUACCCUGGCCUCUUCUGAAACCUGUCUCCAGAAUGACCUUCUGAUGCACUUCUUGGCUCAGAGAACAGACUGCUCUUUCACAGUUACAAGUUGCAAUGUUGUGUAUGCCUGCUACACUGAGUGGAUGUGCUCUUGGCACAGCUCCACCCAUGAUCGUAUGUUUACCGGGACAGUGGUGUAUGCAGAAUAUCCAUGGAAGGAGCCCGAGAAGAAAAAAAGAGACGAAUCAUAUCUAUGAAAGGCAAAGCAAUUCAAAAUCUACAAGUUUGUCGGAUGCAAUGACUCUGGGGGUUAUUUUCUCCCUCCUUAGAACAGCAGCAGCGCUGAAGUUACUCAUAAAUUGUCCUGUGCGUUUGACAUACAGCCAACAACUGGAAGAAGCAAACUCACCCCUCCCCAGUGUUGAGAAAGUAGCCUUUAGAAGAAAAGAAGAGAUAAGAACCAGUGCACAUAAAGGACCAAAUGGUUCCUGGAGCAGCUGACUGAUUGUGUCUUACUAAAGCCAUGGGAGUAGUUGGCACAGUGGAACACAAAUCUCCACAGAACGCAGAACCAGUAGACAAGGAUUCACUGAAUUCCGAAAUUCUUCAGGUUCCAAACUGAGAUAAGCAGCUUCCUGUCAAAUGAGCCAAUGCUGCUGGAUGAAUUGACCUUGACAUAACUGCUGUGAUGCCAAAAGCCACAAGCCAAGGGUGACAAUUGUUACGUUGCCUCGUUGAUAAGGGCACUGCAACUGUGGUUUGUGAUGUGUGAGCUUCUGCACAAUAUGGGCAGGAUAUUUGCUUUGCUGGCAGCUUUCUUGUUGUCUUCAAAAGUGAAGUUGUCUUUUCCACAAACUGUUACAAGUGCUUGAGACUCUCAUCUCCACGAAUCCCACGUUGAUUGUGUUUGACACAGGUGUGGCACUUAAGAGAAAACGGACAUAGAAGAGUUACGUAAUGAAUUUUUCUCUUGGAUGGAGGAGAUGAAUGUCAGCAUAGAACAGAAGGUGUGGAAAGACUGGUGUGUUUUUAACCUGGUGUCCAGGUAUGGUGUUUUUCCCAGGAACUGGUGCUGAAGUAAAUUGUGUGCUAUUGCACACCAGUUUGUCUUUUCAUUGAGUUCUCUGUUUCCAAUACAGGGAAUUAUUCCCUCCUUGCUGUGUGGGUUCUGGGGCUACAUCAACUUCCACACCUAACACUGAUACACCACAGAGGGAGUAUAGCCCCAGCACUGUUUUGUUUUAUUCUUCCAGGGUGCAUGCAGAACUGAUGUGCCAUAUACUUCUUGUAAGGUAGGAUAUAUAUAACAAUCUUACAGUGACACUACAUGGCUCCAUAAAUACUAACACUGACAUCUUUUAUAUCUGGUUGGGGUUUUUUGAGUUAUCAGGUAUUUCCAGCAUAAGCUGGCUUCAGGAAAGCUUUCCUACUUUUCUAUUACUUCCCUAAUGUGAUUCUUUAGCUGCAGGCACUUCUUAAUUGGUUUGGUUUUGUAAGUGAAUUGCUUUGUGUAGUUAGAGGACCAGUGCUACAAAAUGAAUCUUUUAAAAUCCAAAUGGCACAUAUUCAGAUAGUGAAUGACUACAGGUCUCCUGGAACUCCUGCAAAUGACUAUGGAGAAAUGAGUUCUGACUGGGAUUUCAGUAGUUGUGGGUAUAGAUCAGCCCAAACUGUACAAUUUGGGCCCAUACUGUGUUGUAUCGUGUGUCUUCAUACUCCAUUACCAUUUCAUGUUUCACUGCUACUCAGGAUGAACUUAACCUCAUACAACCACAAUUUUUUCACUAUCAUUUCACAGUCAUUAAUUUUUACUACAUUUCUAAAAACUAGUGUAAUCCAGUCACUAGCUGAACCUUAACAAAACUAACCUAGGCAUGCAAAGUUAUUAAAGCCUUCAUAAUUUACUCUUUAUAUGCUACUGACAUAUCAAAACAGGACAGCUUUUAGCUACUUUUCAAGACUUUUCUCAGAAUGUUUCUGUCUUAGCUGGACAUGUGUAAAUUACCUACAGUACUUCCUAACAGCUAAUGAUCUAUUGUGAGCUGUAGCCCAUUCUCAUCUAGAUUCCUUAUUGAAUAGGCAAAGCAUGACUCCAAACACACAACUGCAAAUGCCAGAACUGAAUACUAACUACAUAAAAUGAAGCAUUUUAGGAUUUCCCAAGGUUUUAUUUCUCCUCUUUUUAUGUUCAAAUCUCUGAAGCAGGGACUUAAAUCCCAGUAUCCCAGCAUGUAUCAGGUCACAUGCUGUUCUUAAUAGGUCUUCCUCAGUUUCUAUUCCUCUGAAAGUAAAUAAAAACAACAGAAACUGUGAUGUUAACUUAGGCUGUCUGUUACACUCCAAGAAAAUGUAUGAGUGAAAUGGACUUCUACAUACAGACCUAGUCCUUGAACACUGAAAACUAGCAGUGUCAUCAAUGCAUUACAUCACUACUGAAUACCUGUAGCAAAGACCAGAGUUGAUCCCCAGCAUUCAUCAGCAUCAAAAAAUCAACAUCCAAAGAUGUUCUUUAUACAAAGUAGAAUUGUACUUUACAAAUUCCAGGUAAAAUCAAAUGCAGUUAAAGCCUUGAACGCUUCCAUGGUACUUCAUUUAUAUAGAAACUAAGUCAUGGGAAAUGUUGUGAUUAUUAAAGACAUCAUGACAGUGAUAAUUUUAACCUGUAUUUGUUGAAUGAUUGGUUCAGUUGUUCCUCAGCAGAAAGGCUUCCUUCUUGGUCGCUCAUCUGACAGGAUUCAUGAAGUUCCAUCUCUGCUACAGCUCUCAGUUUUGUUUGCUCUGAGAACGCUGGGAAAUGCAUACAGUCUGCAUAACAAUAAAGAAAUUUCUCUCAUAGCUGAUGCAUAAUUCAAUAUAACAUCUACAGUUUGAUGUAAUUCUGUCAGUGAUGUUACAUUUGGAUAAAUGGCUGGUUUAGGUCAACGCAAUCUCUUUUGACCUUUUAUACAUAAAGUUGUUUCCCUAUUCAUAUUUCCAAUAGACCUGAGAUAUACAGGUCAGACAAUUUAUAGAAAUUUGGAAAUAACCUAAAAUUCUUACUCCGUAUAGAAUUCUGUCUGGUCAAUGAAGAACUGACUUUCUAUUGUAUCAUAUGGGCAAGUAGUAACCAACUGUUUCUCCCCAUGAAGUCACUGGGGCUUUGUUUUGUACUAUAAUGAGAAUUGUAAGCAGAGGAAUCAAGUUAUUAAUCUUGAGGCAUCAGUGGUGCUGUAACACCCCUUAAGUUACUGUGAGUGUAAUUCUUUGAAAUAAUGAGGUGAAAGAGUUCAAAGUGGUGUUAAAACAAUUAUGUGCAAGCAACAAUACAUCCUUCAGUGGCCACAUUUCCCUAGCACAGUUCACAGUUUCUGCAGUGAGCUACAUUAGUCCAGAGCCUGAGUGACCUCUUGGAAUCAAGCCACAUUUCCAGCACCUGUCAAAUGGUUCUUUCUGUAGGGCAUGCAGACAGUGGAAACACAUUAAAAUAACCACGUCUGCCAACAGGGGCAGGUCCAGAGAACAGAAAUUGGCCCCCACUGUACAUGCAGCUAAUCAAUCAGAGGGAUUGAUUCUAUUCUGUGUGCUCAGUCAGCCUGCCAUAAAGAGUGUGUUGAACAAGUACAAUGGGUGGGAUGGCACACAGCCGCUCUGGUAGCUGGGUGUUGAUGCCACAUAGCACAGGCAUAGCAGCUCCUCGUCAUACAUUUAGACUGCAUUCCUUCGUUUUAAUUCCUUUGCCCUAUCAGUCAGCUUUUAGAGGGUGGAGAAGAAAAUUACUGUAAUGGAAAUAAUGAACAAUGUUCUUUUUCAUCAUGUCUUUGUGUGCACCUUGUAACAUGGUUUAGCAAAAUCAAUCUAUAAAAAUCCACAGUGUCAUAACACAUAAUGUAUUUUAAUUGAAUCUGCAACAUAAUCUGUGCAUGAAUUUGAACAGAUUAUUUGCAUGAAUUAAUGUGAAUAUAUAGCGUGUGUUUUUCUUUGCCUGCUAUCCAGUCAAUUAUUACUAGCAAAAACAGAUUCUAAAAGUAGCUUUGCACAUUUGAUAAGCACUGUUGGGGGAGGGGAAGGAGGAAAGAGUGUAAUAGUGGCUGAGCUAAGGCAGCCUGAGGCAUUUUUCUGCCUACACAAGGCACAGACAGACAGAAUGGAUUGGGGACGCUGUUUCACCAGUAUCCUUUACUCUUUUGGAAAUGUGCGACACUGGCUUUCUCCUUUUUCUCUGUAUCUCUUGUGAUGUUGUCAGGGAGACAGGGUCCUUGACUUGCACCCAGUUGCUGAGGCCAUCCCCCUUUAGAGCAGCACUACCCCCAAACCUUGUACCCACUGGAAGAUUGAAAUCUGGUCUGUGACAGGCCCCUGCACAAUCUGUUUAGGUGGCAUAGAACAAAAAUCUCCCUGCACUGUUGCUUCAGUUAAUUCAGAGGAAGCCCAAACUUCAUUCCAAAGAGCGUAUUCCAAAAUACCUGGCUUUAUAAUGUAUUUAUAAUCCAUUGUAUUUAUAUUUAUAUGCUUUUUCAAAAAAAUGAUAGCAUAAAGAGGCCCUAAGUAGCCUUUUUAUAGCAUGGUUGUCUGUGAAGAACAUUGUACAUGUAUUAAAAUCCCUAACAACA